rnacentral:rRNA from 1 species
AUUGAACGCUGGCGGCAGGCCUAACACAUGCAAGUCGAGCGAGCGGCGGACGGGUGAGUAAUGUCUGGGGUUCUGCCCGCUAGAGGGGGAUACCUACUGGAAACGGUGACUAAUACCGCAUACUAUCGGAUGACCCCAUAUGGGAUUAGCUAGGAGGUGGGGUAAAGGCUCAGCUAGGCGACGAUCUCUAGCUGGGCUGAGAGGAUGAUCAGCCACACUGGGACUUGGACACGCCCAAGACUCCUACGGGAGGCAGCAGUGUGGAAUAUUGCACAAUAGGCGCAAGCCUGAUGCAGCCAUGCCGCGUGUAUGGAGAAGGCCUUAGGGUUGUAAAGAACUUGCAGCGGGGAGGCGUUACCCGCAGAAGAAGCACCGGCUAACUACGUGCCAGCAGCCGCGGUAAUUC